CCAUCGGUCUCUGAUCGAGUUAAGAACCAGACAUGGGCUGUGAAGUCCGAUCACAUAAUUGAUGUCAUUCAGAAAUUAAGUUCACCGCUCACUAAGUGCUGAUGGAGGAAAUCUUGGGCUCCCCCAAUUACCAAGUCAAGGAUACUCUUUUCAUAGCUUUCGAACAAACACAUACAAACUGAGCUUUAUGGAGAGUCCCUCUGGGAUUAAGGUGGGGUUUCUUUCUAUUAUAUGCAUUCUUCAGUUUUUAUUUGCAUUAACAUAGUUGCAUUUUGUUGAGUAAAGUUCAUUCUCUUUCUCCUCUUUGUUUUAUCUUUCUCUUCCGAUAUAAACUUCCUCAAAAAAAGAAAAAAGAUAA